GCCACUGUAGCACAAUGGUAGUGCGUUGCUUUCCUACAGCGCUGUUGAAUCAGCAAUGUCAGGCAAGUGAGGCAAAGGUUGCGGGUUCGAUCCCCGUCAGUGGUU